rnacentral:rRNA from 1 species
UACAGAGGUGGCAAGCGUUGUUCGGAAUUACUGGGCGUAAAGGGCGCGUAGGCGGUCCUCUAAGUCUUGUGUGAAAUCCCUCGGCUCAACUGAGGAACUGCACGGGAUACUGGAAGACUUGAGUUCGGGAGAGGGUAGUGGAAUUCCCGGUGUAGUGGUGAAAUGCGUAGAUAUCGGGAGGAACACCAGUGGCGAAGGCGACUACCUGGCCUGUUCUUGACGCUGAGGCGCGAAAGCUAGGGGAGCAAACGGG